rnacentral:tRNA from 1 species
GGCGCUAUAGCCAAGUGGUUACGGCGACAGAUUCGAAUUACUCGUUCGACCAUCUGUUCCUCUUUGAGGGCGCAGGUUCGAAUCCUGCUGGCGUCG